rnacentral:lncRNA from 1 species
CGCAGAUGCCGCCCGUGCAGCCGCCGCCGACGCCCAGCGCGCCACAAGCCCCGACGGCACCGCCGGCCGGGAACCCGCCCCCGGCGCCCACCGCGCCUCCCGCGGGCAACCCGCCUCCCGCGCCCACCGCUCCACCGGCCGGCAACCCGCCUCCGGCUCCCACCAUGGCGCCUCCUCAGGCUCCACAGGCCCCGGCCACUCCCCCUCCGGCGCCACAAGCGCCCCUGGCCCCAAUGACCCCUCCGCUUUCUCCCACCACGCCGCCUCCUGCUCCCACAACCCCUCCCCCGUCUCCUCCCACGCAGCCUCCGCCCGCCCCUGCAACCCCUCCCCCGUCCCCCCCGGCCACGCCGCCCCCGGCACCCGCCACCCCGCCGCCGUCCCCGCCCAUGUCGCCGCCACCCGCCACGCCUCCUCCCAUGGCGACCCCGCCUCCGUCCAUGGCGCCCACCACCGCCCCGACCACCGCCCCGGCGACGUCCCCCGCCGCGACGCCCUCGAUGUCUCCCACAAGCCCCAAGACGCCAUCCCCCGCCGGCGCGCUAUCUCCGUCCG